rnacentral:tRNA from 1 species
AGAAAAUUAGUUAAAUUAUAACAUUAAUUUGUCAAAUUAAAAUUACUUUAGUAUUUUCUA